GCCCGCCUCCCGCCCGCCCCUGUGUGCCGGGUCGGCGUGGGUGCCGUCUUCAGCAUAUCGGUCUGAAACUGCUAAGCUGGAAAUAACUAGAGGACGGCAAUCUGCUGUCAUGAAGAGAAAGACUGCUCCCUUCAUCUCCGAGGGUCUUGAGACCCCCAGUCAAAAUCAGUUACAAGAUUGUCCCCCCUCUGCUCUGACCUCAUGGGACUGCAUCUACGGCACUGUGUCCAGGCCUGGGAACCUCAGCACAAGGAUGUGGAGCUAUCAGUGGGUCCAGAGGAGGCCACAGAGAUGCUCAGAGGGCUGGAGCAUCACUCCUGUGAAGAAAGGCUGAGGGAGCUGGCCUUGUUCAACCUGGAGAAUGGAAGGCUCCAAGGAGACCUCACUGCGACCUUCCAGUACUUGUCAGAAGCUUAAACAGGAGGGAGACUGCCAUUCAACACGGUCUGACAGUUAUAUGACAAAGAGGAAUGGUUUUGAACUUAAAGAGAGGAGAUUUAGGUUGGAUGUUAGGCAGAAAUUAGAUUCAAUUCAAAUGUCAUCUACAGAGCAGAAAUAAAGGGUUGGAAGCUUU